UGGAAAUGAUUUCAACUAUUUCCCAUUUGGUUCUGGCAGAAGAAUAUGUGCGGGGAUUGGCAUGGCAGAGAGGAUGUUCAUGUAUUCACUGGCUUCACUCAUUCAUUCUUUCGACUGGAAAUUGCCCGAAGGAGAGACAUUAGACCUCACAGAGAAGUUUGGGAUUGUUCUGAAGAAGAAAAUGCCUCUGGUGGCUAUACCUAUUCCAAGAUUAUCCAAUCCAACACUCUAUGAGUAAAAUAAAAGAUGUUGCUCUAUCCUGUCAAUGGUCUUAUGAACAACUCAAUGUCCACUGUUCCAUGUGAUAUGGCUGAUUUUUUUUAUGACUACUUAUGAAUUUGAAAUAAUAAUACAUGUAUUACUCUCAUUGGGUAUGUUGUUGUUGUGAACCAAAUGGACAAUAACAUAUACCAGUACUGCAGUAAUUAUUAUAUGCUUAUCGAUAAAUCUGUAUAUUGUAAUUUGUGUGUAAUUUAUCCAUAAGCGUAUGGUUUUGAUGAGCACAUAUGGUUGUAAUUAUUCUCAUUGAGGUUUGCAAUCUCCUGUUUCCUACCUUUUGCUAGUGUGUUCUUAUACAACUAUUGAAAUGUGUUUGUAGUGAUUAUACUUCUAUCUUUUGUACUAUAUAUGGAGAUGUGCUCCCUGUAAUUUGGAUCCAUUUCUAAUUAAUUCAAUGCUUUCUAUACAUACAGUUGGUACACAUCAAGAUUAUGAAACCUGCAAUCAGUGUGGCUGAAUCACCUGUAUUUGACUAGAUUCAUUCCAGAAUCUUCUCAACCGAAGUUAAAAUACCUAAUCAAGCUAUUCUUAUGCUGACAGUUUAGUUUCCUCGUUCACAAUGGUCGUUUGUGUGUUCCAGAUGGCAUCCGGAGGCGAUCAUUUCUGAGGUAGACGGUAAGCCACUCACUUCUAGCAGUCGUUCCAGAAAGGCUUGGGCACACAUGUUAAACCAAAAUUUAACCUUUAUAUACAACACUCAUGGACACAUAUGUUUCUAAGUAUCUGCAAGUUUUUGGUGUUAACUACAAAUGAUGUGAUUAAAAUAUCCCCUAGAUGUAAAUGAAACUACAUUGAAGUGGUGAAAUGACAAUGGCAUGAAGAUAUAUGUGGAAGUAUAAGAUGGAUAACAUGGCAUGGGAGAGUUUAAAUGGAAUCCGGAAACGAGGCAUGCCUUCAGGACUUCCUCGCUAUUCCCCAAGAGAAAACAAAGGGAAGUGAGAUAAAUGAUUUACACCCACUAAAUUCCCCACUUUGUUUUAGAAAGAUGUUCAUAAAAUUAAUCAAACAAAAUAGUAGUCAAAGUGUAAUUUUCUAUCUUAUUAUAUGGUAUAAUAGGUUACAAGAAUUAUUAUUAUUAUUAUAGAGAAAUCGGAAUAAAGAAGAUAAGCAUAAUACUAAAAACACAAGUGAAAUUAGUAUUACAAAGGAAAACCUUGAGCAAGGUGUGUGAAAUUUUCCUAAAAGAAAGUAAACAAAAAGGAUCUUAAAGAGCAUAUUUCUGCUGGCAUGAAGACAAUAUAUACCUAAUUUAAUACGAUUUCUUUAUCUGUCUUGUGGACAGGAAGAAGCACCAAUUCUAGCUGGAAGGUAUCAACAUCUGAAGAUUCAUUUGCACUACCCAACAAAGGUCAUUGACUUCUUCAGUUAUUUGAAUCCCAAGGUACAAUUAUAUUUGUUUACGCCAAAUUAUAUUAAUUUAUUGCUGUAUAAGGAACUAAUGUAUCAUAUCAAUUUUGAACGAAUCAUAUAUCUGCCGAAUACUUUUUGUCUUGAUCCAAGAUUUCUCAUUCCUUUAUCAAAAUACCAUUUUGUUUUAAGUGGUGUUAAAACAUUGAGCUUCCCACCAUAUUGGUUCUGCCAAUUUCCAUUUCCCUCUUAGGCUCAAAUAAUGUCUCUCAAAUUCUUCAAACCUCUGUUUGAUUCUUUCUCAUGUUCCUGGCAAGAAUCAAAUAUUGGACAAAAAGGUGUAUUUUACUCCUAUGUUCUUGGUAUUGUAGCUUUACUAUGGUUUCUUUGGUUUUUCAUUAACAAGUCAAAAAAGGGACAGCCCCCAUUGCCACCAGGGCCUAAAGCUUUGCCUUUGAUAGGUAAUCUCCAUUCUCUUGAUCCUGAACUUCACACCUAUUUUGCAUCUCUUUCCCAAACUUAUGGCCCCAUUUGUAGACUCUGGCUUGGUAAAAAACUUGGGAUCAUUAUUACUUCGCCUGCCUUAGCUCGCGAGGUUCUUAAGGAUCAAGAUACCAUUUUUGCUAAUAGAGAUGUGCCUGCUGCUGGUAGAGAAGCUACAUAUGGUGGCACUGAUAUAGUUUGGACUCCUUAUGGACCGAAAUGGCGCAUGUUGAGGAAAGUAUGUGUUCGCGAAAUGCUUAGUGGUUCUACUUUAGAUUCUGUUUAUGCAUUGAGGCGACGGGAGCUUAGACAAACGAUCAAUUACUUCUAUAGUCAGGCGGGAUUGCCUGUGAAUAUAGGUGAACAGAUGUUCUUGACUGUGCUUAAUGUGAUUACAAGCAUGUUAUGGGGUGGCACAGUGAAGGGCGAGGAAAGAGCUAGUCUUGGGGCAGAGUUUAGGCAUGUUGUUACUAAGAUGACUGAACUGUUAGGUACUCCAAAUCUUUCUGAUUUUUAUCCGGGCUUGGCCAGGUUUGAUUUGCAGGGUGUUACAAAGAAGAUGAAAGUAUUGGCAAAGAGAUUUGAUAAGAUAUUUGAGAGCAUGAUUGAUAAAAGACAGGAGAUUGAUAGAAAUGGUGGGAUGGAAACUGGUGUUGGCCAAGAAAAUAAGGAUUUUUUGCAAGUUUUGCUGAAACUGAAAGAUGAUGAAGCUGCCAAAAUGCCUUUGACCAUGCCUGAACUCAAAGCCUUACUCAUGGUAUGUUUUCUCAAUUGUGCAUGCUACUACAGGAAAAAUCCAGUAUGUUAACACUUAACUAUGAACCUUGAACUGAACUCCAGUAUCCAGCUCUACAAGUAGUAUGAAUUUUGUUGUACAUGAUAAUAACUUUAAAAAUACUGUGAACAGGAUAUGGUUGUCGGUGGAACUGACACAACCUCCAACACGGUUGAGUUUGCCAUGGCUGAAAUUAUGAACAAGCCAGACGUCCUGAGAAAAUUGCAACAAGAAAUAGAUACAGUUGUGGGUAAAGAUAACAUAGUGGAAGAGUCUCAUAUUCAACACUUGCCAUAUUUCUAUGCAGUUAUGAAAGAAGUCUUGCGUCUACAUCCAGCGCUUCCACUCUUGGUUCCUCAUUGUCCUAGUGAGACAAGCACUGUUGGAGGAUACACUGUUCCUAAAGGAUCUCGUGUUUUCAUAAAUGUAUGGGCAAUACAGAGAGAUCCUUCUAUAUGGGAAAAUCCAACUGAGUUUCAUCCAGAAAGAUUUUUCGAAAAUAAAUGGGACUAUAGUGGAAAUGAUCUCAACUACUUCCCGUUUGGUUCUGGCAGAAGAAUCUGUGCGGGGAUAGCCAUGGCAGAGAGGAUGUUCAUGUAUUCACUGGCUUCACUCAUUCAUUCUUUCGACUGGAAAUUCCCCGAAGGAGAGACAUUAGACCUUACAGAGAAGUUUGGAAUUGUUCUGAAGAAGAAAAUGCCUCUGGUGGCUAUACCUACUCCAAGAUUAUCCAAUCCGACACUGUAUGAGUAAGAUAUGUCUGUAGAGAGACGUGUUCUGCAUGAUGAUUAUAUCUU
rnacentral:lncRNA from 1 species